CACGUAGGGUGCGAGCGUUGUCCGGAAUUAUUGGGCGUAAAGAGCUCGUAGGCGGUCUGUCGCGUCGGCCGUGAAAACCUGCAGCUUAACUGUGGGCUUGCGGUCGAUACGGGCAUGACUGGAGUUCGGCAGGGGAGACUGGAAUUCCUGGUGUAGCGGUGAAAUGCGCAGAUAUCAGGAGGAACACCGAUGGCGAAGGCAGGUCUCUGGGCCACUACUGACGCUGAGAAGCGAAAGCAUGGGGAGCGAACAGG
rnacentral:rRNA from 1 species